UACAGAGGGUGCGAGCGUUAAUCGGAAUUACUGGGCGUAAAGCGUGCGUAGACGGUUAUUUAAGUCGGGUGUGAAAGCCCCGGGCUCAACCUGGGAAUUGCAUUCGAGACUGAAUAGCUAGGGUACGGUAGAGGGAAGCGGAAUUUCCGGUGUAGCGGUGAAAUGCGUAGAUAUCUGAAGAACAUCAGUGGCGAAAGCGACUUCCUGGACCAAUACUGACGCUCAUGUGCGAAAGCGUGGGGAGCAAACAGG
rnacentral:rRNA from 1 species